GAUGAACGCUGGCGGCGUGCCUAAUACAUGCAAGUCGAGCGAACGGACGAGAAGCUUGCUUCUCUGAUGUUAGCGGCGGACGGGUGAGUAACACGUGGAUAACCUACCUAUAAGACUGGGAUAACUUCGGGAAACCGUAGCUAAUACCGGAUAAUAUUUUGAACCGCAUGGUUCAAAAGUGAAAGACGGUCUUGCUGUCACUUAUAGAUGGAUCCGCGCUGCAUUAGCUAGUUGGUAAGGUAACGGCUUACCAAGGCAACGAUGCAUAGCCGACCUGAGAGGGUGAUCGGCCACACUGGAACUGAGACACGGUCCAGACUCCUACGGGAGGCAGCAGUAGGGAAUCUUCCGCAAUGGGCGAAAGCCUGACGGAGCAACGCCGCGUGAGUGAUGAAGGUCUUCGGAUCGUAAAACUCUGUUAUUAGGGAAGAACAUAUGUGUAAGUAACUGUGCACAUCUUGACGGUACCUAAUCAGAAAGCCACGGCUAACUACGUGCCAGCAGCCGCGGUAGUACGUAGGUGGCAAGCGUUAUCCGGAAUUAUUGGGCGUAAAGCGCGCGUAGGCGGUUUUUUAAGUCUGAUGUGAAAGCCCACGGCUCAACCGGGGAGGGUCAUUGGAAACUGGAAAACUUGAGUGCAGAAGAGGAAAGUGGAAUUCCAUGUGUAGCGGUGAAAUGCGCAGAGAUAUGGAGGAACACCAGUGGCGAAGGCGACUUUCUGGUCUGUAACUGACGCUGAUGUGCGAAAGCGUGGGGAUCAAACAGGAUUAGAUACCCUGGUAGUCCACGCCGUAAACGAUGAGUGCUAAGUGUUAGGGGGUUUCCGCCCCUUAGUGCUGCAGCUAACGCAUUAAGCACUCCGCCUGGGGAGUACGACCGCAAGGUUGAAACUCAAAGGAAUUGACGGGGACCCGCACAAGCGGUGGAGCAUGUGGUUUAAUUCGAAGCAACGCGAAGAACCUUACCAAAUCUUGACAUCCUUUGACAACUCUAGAGAUAGAGCCUUCCCCUUCGGGGGACAAAGUGACAGGUGGUGCAUGGUUGUCGUCAGCUCGUGUCGUGAGGUGUUGGGUUAAGUCCCGCAACGAGCGCAACCCUUAAGCUUAGUUGCCAUCAUUAAGUUGGGCACUCUAAGUUGACUGCCGGUGACAAACCGGAGGAAGGUGGGGAUGACGUCAAAUCAUCAUGCCCCUUAUGAUUUGGGCUACACACGUGCUACAAUGGACAAUACAAAGGGCAGCGAAACCGCGAGGUCAAGCAAAUCCCAUAAAGUUGUUCUCAGUUCGGAUUGUAGUCUGCAACUCGACUACAUGAAGCUGGAAUCGCUAGUAAUCGUAGAUCAGCAUGCUACGGUGAAUACGUUCCCGGGUCU
rnacentral:rRNA from 1 species